GUGCCUCAAUCUAUUGAGUAAGGAAAUUAUUGGGCCUUGGUAAUUCUUGGCUAUGUCCGUAAAGGGCGAAAUGAUUUUUGAGGGGUACAGGUCGUCCCCUUGAGGGGCAAGCCUACUUUGCUGGCCCUUCGGGUGAAGCGAUCUGCCCU